GGGGAGGAAAAAGUGAAGCUGCCAGCAUGAUCUAGCUGUGGCCAUUUUCUUCUGAAUUCUGCUUUCUUGUUUUCUUCUUCUUCUUGUUAUUGUAAAGAAAGGAAUAAAGAAAGAAAGAAAGAAAAGGGUUAGUUGACCGUGGCUAGGUCAUGCUCUGACAGCCUCACUCUUUCCUCUU
rnacentral:pre_miRNA from 1 species